rnacentral:rRNA from 1 species
GUCUAUGACCGCAUCACCCUGAACGUGACUGGUCUUAUCUGAUCUCCUAAGCUAAGCAGGGUCAGGCCUGCUUAGUACCUGGUUGGGAAAAUGUUUACAGAGGAGUUGAAAUCU